UACGUAGGGGGCAAGCGUUGUCCGGAAUUAUUGGGCGUAAAGCGCGCGAAGGCGGUUUCUUAAGUCUGAUGUGAAAGCCAACGGCUUAACCGUGGAGGGUCAUUGGAAACUGGGAACUUGAGUACAGAAGAGGAGAGUGGAAUUCCACGUGUAGCGGUGAAAUGCGUGGAUAUGUGGAGGAACACCAGUGGCGAAGGCGACUCUCUGGUCUGUAACUGACGCUGAGGUGCGAAAGCGUGGGGAGCAAACAGG
rnacentral:misc_RNA from 1 species